ACCGUACUCCUACGGGAGGCAGCAGUGGGGAAUUUUGGACCAUGGGGGCAACCCUGAUCCAGCAAUGCCGCGUGAGUGAAGAAGGCCUUCGGGUUGUAAAGCUCUUUUGUCAGGGAAGAAACGGUAGUAGCUAAUAUCUAUUACCAAUGACGGUACCUGAAGAAUAAGCACCGGCUAACUAAGUGCCAGCAGCCGCGGUAAUACGUAGGGUGCAAGCGUUAAUCGUAGUUACUGGGCGUAAAGCGUGCGCAGGCGGUUGUGUAAGUCAGAUGUGAAAUCCCCGGGCUCAACCUGGGAAUUGCAUUUGAGACUGCACGGCUAGAGUGUGUCAGAGGGGGGUAGAAUUCCACGUGUGGCAGUGAAAUGCGUAGAUAUGUGGAGGAAUACCGAGGGCGAAGGCAGCCCCCUGGGAUAACACUGACGCACAUACACGAAAGGGUGGGGAGCAAACAGGAUUAGAAACCCCAGUAGUCCUUGAC
rnacentral:rRNA from 1 species